rnacentral:lncRNA from 1 species
GUAGAGAAGCCACCAGUGUACAAGCCACCAGUAGAGAAACCCCCUGUCUACAAGCCACCAGUUGAGAAGCCUCCAGUUUACAAGCCACCAGUUGAGAAGCCCCCUGUGUACAAACCCCCAGUUUACAAGCCCCCAGUUUACAAGCCACCAGUUGAGAAACCUCCAGUGUACAAACCUCCAGUUGAAAAGCCACCAGUUUAUAAACCUCCUGUCGAGAAGCCUCCCGUUUACGAGCCUCCUCACCACCCGAAGUACCCUCCAACAGGUUUCUAGAA